CCAAUAGCGUAUAUUAAAGUUGUUGCAGUUAAAAAGCUCGUAGUUGAAUUUCGGGAUCAGUAUGUUGGUCGUGCUUCGGUACGUACUGUCAUUACUGGUUUCUCCCUUCUGAAGAACCUUGAUGUCAUUAAUUUGGUGUCUUGGGGAAUCAGGACUGUUACUUUGAAAAAAUUAGAGUGUUUAAAGCAGGCAUACGCUUGAAUACAUUAGCAUGGAAUAA
rnacentral:rRNA from 1 species